AACGUAGGUGGCGAGCGUUAUCCGGAUUUACUGGGCGUAAAGGGUGUGCAGGCGGGGGUCCAAGUGGUGUAUGAAAUCGCUCGGCUUAACCGGGCUAGGUUAUCGCCAGACUGGACUUCUAGAGUGCGAGAGAGGGACGUGGAAUUCCGGGUGUAGUGGUGAAAUGCGUAGAGAUCCGGAGGAACCCAGAGGCGAAGGCGGCGUCCUGGCUCGCAACUGACGCUCAGACACGACAGCAUGGGGAGCGAACGGG
rnacentral:rRNA from 1 species